AGAAUCAACGCUGGCGGCGUGCCUAACACAUGCAAGUCGAACGCGGUUAUCCAGCAAUGGAUGACUGAGUGGCGAACGGGUGAGUAACACGUGGGUGACCUACCUUCGAGUGGGGGAUAACGUCCCGAAAGGGACGCUAAUACCGCAUAACAUCCCGCCUUUGAACAGGUGGAGAUCAAAGCCGGGGACCGCAAGGCCCGGCGCUUGAUGAGGGGCCCGCGUCCGAUUAGCUAGUUGGUGAGGUAAUGGCCCACCAAGGCAACGAUC
rnacentral:rRNA from 1 species